UAAAAUCUCCCCAAAUCUCUCCCUCCAUCUUCCCUCUCCCCCCACCCACCGCUGACCACGAGCAGCAACGUCGACCCAAAGGCCGAGCACCUGUGACACAGCAACUCCGCAUCCGGCAACCACGGAUUUCAAGUUUUUUUUUUCCAACCGUGCCACCUCUCUCUUCCAUCGUGCUCCACCCUCUCCUCCCUUCACCACCGAAUAUCUAGGCCACCAAAAGAGCUACCCACCGUCGCACCCUCAAGGAUUUUGUUACACGUGUGGUUGAGAGUUAAGCUGAAGAUUCAAGAAGGGGCAGCUGGCGGUGUACGUGGCAGAUGCAGAGGAGUAGCAUGAAUUAUGGAUUCUAGUUGGAAUCCAGUAAUUCAGUUUCACACGUGUUUUACAGUUACUGCUUCAAGAUAUAGUUGUUUUAAUUCUUCUGCAUUUCAAUUGUGUAUAAAUAUAAUUGAUUGCAGUUGUAAAGGCAGUUUUUGACAUUUGUUGAGUUCAGUUUGAACUAAGGAGACUCGCCAUCUCGAAUUGGCUUAUUCAAUAAAUAUUCUUCAUUCUCCCCUUCA